rnacentral:rRNA from 1 species
GAUGAACGCUGGCGGCGUGCCUAACACAUGCAAGUCGAGCGAGAUAAAUGUGAGUGGAGACUUCGGUCAAAGCAAUCAUUUUGAAAGCGGCGGACGGGUGAGUAACGCGUGAGCAAUCUGCCCCAUACAAAGGGAUACCCACUGGAAACGGUGAUUAAUACCUUAUAAGACCACGAAGUCGCCUGGCUUAGUGGCCAACGAUUUAUCGGUAUGGGAUGAGCUCGCGUCUGAUUAGCUAGUUGGUGAGGUAAUGGCUCACCAAGGCGACGAUCAGUAGCCGACCUGAGAGGGUGAACGGCCACACUGGAACUGAGACACGGUCCAGACUCCUACGGGAGGCAGCAGUGGGGAAUAUUGCACAAUGGGCGCAAGCCUGAUGCAGCAACGCCGCGUGAAUGAUGAAGGCCUUCGGGUCGUAAAGUUCUGUCCUAAGGGAAGAAUACAGUGACGGUACCUUAGGAGGAAGCCCCGGCUAACUACGUGCCAGCAGCCGCCGUAACAC